rnacentral:rRNA from 1 species
GAACGCUGGCGGCGUGCCUAAUACAUGCAAGUCGAGCGAACGGACGAGAAGCUUGCUUCUCUGAUGUUAGCGGCGGACGGGUGAGUAACACGUGGAUAACCUACCUAUAAGACUGGGAUAACUUCGGGAAACCGGAGCUAAUACCGGAUAAUAUUUUGAACCGCAUGGUUCAAAAGUGAAAGACGGUCUUGCUGUCACUUAUAGAUGGAUCCGCGCUGCAUUAGCUAGUUGG